rnacentral:rRNA from 1 species
UACGUAGGGUGCGAGCGUUGUCCGGAAUUACUGGGCGUAAAGCGCUCGUAGGUGGUUUGUCGCGUUGUUCGUGAAAUCUCACGGCUUAACUGUGAGCGUGCGGGCGAUACGGGCAGACUGGAGUACUGCAGGGGAGACUGGAAUUCCUGGUGUAGCGGUGGAAUGCGCAGAUAUCAGGAGGAACACCGGUGGCGAAGGCGGGUCUCUGGGCAGUAACUGACGCUGAGGAGCGAAAGCGUGGGGAGCGAACAGG